rnacentral:rRNA from 1 species
GCCGGCAGCCGUAUCACCCCGCAACUCACAACUGGUAACCCACUGAAGCUAAGCAGGUGUGAGCCUGGUUAGUACCUGGAUGAGAGACCUCUUGGGAAAAACUGCUGCUGGAA